CGCGGGGUGGAGCAGCCUGGUAGCUCGUCGGGCUCAUAACCCGAAGGUCGUCGGUUCAAAUCCGGCCCCUCGCAACCA
rnacentral:tRNA from 1 species